rnacentral:rRNA from 1 species
AUGGGAGCCGGCCUCUAUGGGUAUCUCGACCAAACAAUUCCCCAACCUACCAAAACAAUUUCAUCCAAAAACUCUGAAGGAAAGGAACAGAUCGUUCCGAAUCCUACCUACACUCCUUGGUUGAUCCAAGACUAGCAGAUUGUAGCCUAUCUGUUGAGAAAUCUCUCCAAAGAAAUCCUAGUACAGGUUGCCUCGAUGGAAACAUCGCAUGCGAUUUGGACAUCCCUUGCAAACAUGUUCACAGCCCACUCCGCAUCCUGCGUGAAUAACAUCCGAAUCUCCCUGACCAAUGCC